GACGAACGCUGGCGGCGUGCUUAACACAUGCAAGUGGAGCGACGAACCAGGGCUUGCCCUGGGGCAGAGCCGCGAACGGGUGAGUAACACGUGGGUAACGUGCCCCGAUGAUCGGGACAACCCGGGGAAACCCGGCUAAUACCGAAUGUGCUCCCCUCACACCAGUGAGGGAGUGGAAAGGAAGCUUCGGCCUCCGCAUCGGGAUCGGCCCGCGGCCCAUUAGCUUGUUGGUGAGGUAACGGCUCACCAAGGCUGCGAUGGGUAGCUGGUCUGAGAGGACGAUCAGCCACACUGGGACUGGAGACACGGCCCAGACUCCUUACGGGAGGCAGCAGUGGGGAAUCUUGCGCAAUGCGCGAAAGCGUGACGCAGCAACGCCGCGUGGGGAAGACGGCCUGG
rnacentral:rRNA from 1 species